rnacentral:lncRNA from 1 species
GUGACGCCGGCAUUAUGCUGUUUCAAAGUGGAACAUGUUACAAAUUGUUCUCUCUACGAUGAAACGAUAAUCAAACCAUUGAAUUUAUAUUUGACCACACAUAAUUAUGCAUAUCCACCACUAAAGAAUAUGUCUUCAUGUCUUUCUGUGGAGUUUACAAUAUGCUUUUCAUCGAACAAACUAUGGUAUGCAUUCUCCCAUUGAGCGAACACUAAAAA